rnacentral:lncRNA from 1 species
CCCUGAUUCUGGUUCCUUGGGCACUCUCUUGCAUAAUGUUGGACACUACCACAUAUGCGACAGGUGUUGUUGAGGCGGUAGCAGGGUCGAUCCCCGUGAUCCCUGCUGUAAUGCUGACAGAUCUUACCACGUCCCACCACUGGAGCUUGAGGGCAAGCCUGGAUCACCGGCCUGGGCCUCUUGUUUUAUUGGACAGACACAGUAGGUGAUGGUCUGCGGGGUGGAGCUGAGGGUCUGAGGUUCCCUGAUGCCUGUGGGAGGUGGAAGCUCCUCUACACUAGUUGUGCCUUGGCCAGAACGGCUGAAUAGGUCUUGAGCUCCAGCAUGAACAAAUACUGCCUAUGGGAGGGUGUAGAAGCUCCUCUCCACUAGUUGUGCCUUGGC